GUAUUGAUGACGGAAAAGGGGAGCUGGUUACUUGCUUGCUGAAGAAAUGAAGGAAAACAUUAUGUUACCAUAAGACAAAACCUCCACCUGCUAGAUUAUCAUUCCUAAAACGAUCCUCGACUUUGUAUAAAAAGAAUUGCUUUGAUUUUGCCCUUCUUAGGACAGAAGUCAUCCAAAUUCUUCAUCUCCUCUCCCUCUGACAAUCGUCUGUCUUCCUCAGAAAUCUCCAUCGAGAAAUCAUACGCUGUGACAGCUGAUCCAGGCACGGAUCUUGGUCUGUUUCUAGACGACGAGGCACACAGCACAACACUGCAGACCCACGGCGAGCGUGUACUGUGUUAGCUUAGUGAGAGCCAUCGAGAGGAAGUCUACAGAAAGCGAGUAUCAGGAUGUAAGCAUUUGACAGAUCCAGCAACAAAAUUCUUUUGUUAGCUACCCUGAAGGGAGCUACUUUCAGAUUCCUGUUUCUUUCAAGCCAGCAACAAGCCUGGAGUCGUGUUUGGGACACAUCAUAGGUUCUAGUUUUCAGUCUUUCCUUGGAAAGCAACAUAAAGGGGAAAUAACCUGUGUCAAGUUUCUUUUACGUCCUGGGCUAUAGAUCAAAUACGCGUACGAAGACUACAUAAAGUUGGGUCACCGCGAGAGCAGCCAUUUCCAACGUGCUGCUCAAGGCUGCACCCAGAGCCUAGCGGGGCCCACCCGGAGCAGACGUCCAGUAACUCUCAGAGCUAAGAGGGCUGGGCAUUCGCCACUUGCUGUGCCCUGUUCUAAGCACUUCUCAUGUACUGAUUCUGGUUCUGACAGCCAUGCUAUAGAGUAAUAUAUCCAUUUUACAGAUGAAAAAACCAAGGCUAAGAGAGGUUCGGCAACUUGCCCCAAGUCACAUAGGAACUGGUAACUUUUUUUUUUUUUCAGGGCCACACCUGCAGCAUAGGGAAGUUCCCAGGCUAGGGGUCAAAUUGGAGCUAUAGUUUCUGGUCUACACCACAGGCACAGCAACAGGGAUCUGAGCAGCAUGUGCAACCUAUACCACAGCUCACAGCAACACCGGAUACUCAACCCACUCAGUGAGGCCAGGGAUCAAACUGCAUCCUCAUGGUCACUAGUUGGGAUCAGUACCAUUAAGCCGCAAUGGGAACUCCCAGGAACUGGUAACAUUCAAUACUGAGACGGCUCUGCGACUGAUGUAGGGGGCUUCUCCCAAAGCUACAGGGCUUGCCUUCCGUGGCACAGACAAAGCAGUACGUCUCUGCUCUUGCUCUGCAAAUCCCAGGUAAAGGCUUUCUCGCGCACUUCAGCUCUUGUUCUUCACAGCCCAGUACUAAUCAUCAGCCCAUCAUGCAGCGUAGAAUUGCCAACACCAUCCCGAUGAUGUAGUUAUUUCCAAUUGGCACUUGGGAGCAGUGAGGAUAGGAGGCAUUACUCAUAGCCAAGAGUACAGAUGUUUCUAAUUGCUUUCCAUUA
rnacentral:lncRNA from 1 species